AUGCUACUUCCUCCGAUCCAUAUUACUUUUCGAAAUAUUACAUGUAUCUAGACGCUUUUUAAACAUAGAUACAUCCGUAUUUAGGCAAAUUCGAGACAAGUAAUAUGGGUCGGAGGGAGUACGAC
rnacentral:pre_miRNA from 1 species